rnacentral:lncRNA from 1 species
ACAAAAGGUCACUUUUAAUAUCAAACACAAAGACACUCAGUGGCUGAGAUGCUGUUGGUUUCUUCCCCCAGAAGCCGUGUCUAUACGUGGGCUGUCCGUAGCGUGUUUACCUCAUGGAGAGCUGAGGGUGUCCUGCUCCGCUGGGGGGGACAAUCCCCACUACAACUGGACACUGGGGGACCAGCCACUUGGAGAGGACAUUCCCCAUAUGAACUCUGGAGAUGGUGUUGUUUUGUUGGGAAAGGGUGAGAGUGGAGAAAUCACCUGUACAGCCUGGAAUAAUGUCAGCAGGGAAAGCAGAACCCAGAGUCUCCCCACCUGUUCAGAACUUGGACCGUCUGUGAGUUGCACUUUGACAAAUGGCACAGAGAUUGCCGUUAGGAUGAACACUACAGAAGGCCUUUCUCUCUUGGAGAAUAAGAAGAUCUUCUUCACUCUUCAUGGGAGAGAGAUGUUGUCUGCUCUGUGCUACAACCAACCGAAACCCACAAGCAAUGAAAAAGACACAUUCGAAAAAAAAAAGGAUUGUCUUAAAUCAGAGGUGAUCUUACCUGUUUCGGCAGCACUAGCAAUUAUCACCGUGCUUCUUGUCGUCACAGUGGGAGUUUACUUCUUGUACAAGAGGAAGAAAGAUCGAGCAUCAGUAGGUCAGUUUGUUAGUUACAAUAUUCACCUAUUGAUAACGACGCCAUGUACUCAUGUACCCAUGUGGACCUUGGAGUACCUUGUCUUGUUCUCUUCUACCUAGGGGAUAAAGCCUACAGCCAAGAUCUGGUGUAUGCAGACGUCAGGGUCAGCAGGAACGAGGGCAACGGCAGGACCCGGAUGGGGAAGAGGGCAGAACCAGAGGUGGUGUACGGAGAAGUUAAAGUGUGAAGUACUUCUGAACAGAAAUGAUACAAGGGAAAACACACAAUUGCUAAAAUUGGUCUUAUUUUUUUUCUGAAAACCUUCCUCUUUUCUCAAGCAAUUUUUGAAAUAAUACUCAGUUUCGACUCCCUCUGCUUCUUUUUUUAACUUUUUAAAAUGUAUUUUUCAUAUCUCACAUUCAUUAAAGGUGAAAUUUUGCUGAAAAUUGUAAUAAAAG